AGAGAGACAUGCUGGACGUCAAUCAGAUUAUGAAGGACUUGGCCAGCAUGGUGCAUGAACAAGGAGACACCAUAGACAGCAUUGAAGACUACAUUCAGACCACCUCAUCACAUGUGGAAUCAGCCAAUCAGGAGCUUGCAAAAGCCAGUCAUUAUCAGAGCCAGCUGAGGAGGAGGAAAUGUUAUCUGAUAAUCGCUGGAGUGCUGCUUCUUACUUUGCUUAUCAUCAUUAUUGCAGUCUCAGCCAGAAAAUGAGAGCAAGACCACAGAGAUCUCUGUUUCAACUCUGCUGUGAUCUCUCCUCAACUUCCCAGCAAAAUAGAGUCUGUACGUAGAGGUCCACCUGUGCUCACUCCCUUUCUUCUUAUCUCUGUCUAUACUUCUGUCAGAUUAUGUGUUUGUUUUUUUUUGGUGUAUGCAUGUAUGGAAGUGUGUGUGUGUGUGUGU